rnacentral:lncRNA from 1 species
AAAUAAAAGGGAGAAAAGCAGGAAGACAGCUGAGCGCCCGCCACGACUCGCCCAUCUCUGCUCCCUGAGAUGUGAGAGACAUUGGCUUCCCUCUCUCACAACCGUGGGCUGUUCCUAUCCCCAUGGCUUCUCUGACACUGCAAACUGUGAGCCAAAAUGGCCACCUGUCCCCUAAGUUGCAUUUCCUAAGUGUUUUUUGUCACAGCAACAGGCAGAGUAACUAAUGUAUUCUUCAAACUGCUGGACGUGGGAGAACUUUAGAGAUGCAACAGUCCUUAUGAGCUCUUCAUACAGAAAGAAGACCCAGGAUCAAUUCCCGGAUCCCACGCCAGGAAGCUGAAAGUCACCUAUUACUCCAAUUCUAGAGAAUCUGAUGCUUUCUUCUGGCCUACAAGGACAUCUGUAUGCAUGUAGCGUUGUCUGUCUGUCUGUCUGUCUGUCUGUCUGUCUUUCUGUCUUUAACUUUAAAACAAUGCAGUGGGGCCAUAAGAGACUCUGGUCUGGUGUUGUCAUCCAACACUUAGAUUGGCUCAUCCAAUAUAACCAAAUCUUCUCUGCUGCUGCAUUCAGCUCACUCCUUCUUAAAGCUGUCUUCCACUGAGAGUCUCUGAUGAACAAACUGUGUUUGCUGUCCCCAAAGAUGCCCAUUGUAACUCUCUCACAGGCUUACCUCUGUGUUGAAUUCUAGAUGGACAGUUGUUUCCCUCAGGCAAGUAGAGAUCCCCUGGUGUAUCCCAGCCUUCCCUGACGUGGCAUUGGUCUCUUUAGAGUAACAGUUAUUUGUUGGAUCUGUCUUUUUAUCUAGAUAUGUCAGUUUUUCAUUGUUGGUCUGUAUUUUUACAUGUGUGUGCACAUGUUUCUAUAAUCUUGUCAAUAUGAAUUUGUGUUAGUGUAUGGCUGAAAAGGAAUAAUUUCUAUUUAUCAUUUAUACCUGGCUUUAUGUCACUACCACACCCAUGGUCUUUCUAACCCCCCUUUUUCCUCUUCUCUUUCUUUUUUUUCAUUCACGUAUGUUUCUUCCUUCUCCUUUGUCUUCUUGUGGUACUCAGGAUUGAACCUAGGGCCUCAGACAUACUCACAAAGGUACUGCCACUUUACAUCCCAAGCUGUCUUUGGCUGAAUAAGGUAGACUCUUAUUAAGUUGAUUAACCUGACCUUGAACUCACUCCAUAGCUCAGACAGAUAUUGAACCUGUGAUUCCCCCUUCCUUAACUGCCCAGGUAAAUGGGAUUAAGACCUAUACCAGCAGGCCUGGAUUGCCUGAGUUUCUUGAAUCCAGACCAUGAUAAAGAUGAUUAACCUUCAUCCUUCCCUUUAUUACCUGAUUUGAAACUCUUUUUUGCCAUUGGACCUUGUUAGUCAGUGACCCUGUUCAUAGCUUCUGCUUAUACCUUGAUCUUUCUUUACCUUCUUUUUAUUACAGGUAACAUGUCUAAGACUAGAUUUGAUCUUCCCAAUUCUCCUUUUAGCUGUGCCUAGUUGACUGUCUGGACUACUUAUUGACUCACUUUAUGUUUCCCGAUGUUUUUUAAAUGUUCAUUUGUGAAAGCUUCAUUUUGUUCUUCAAACUCGCUAGAUACAUUUUGAAGUGAUAACUCGUUCAUUUCAUUGAGGUUGCCUUCAAGCUCUUCCCGUCUUUAGGUAUACGAUAUUGUCAUUCCCUCCAGAUUGUUUCACUGGCCAAUUCCCAGAACCUCAAGAGCUUAGAGUAAAAUCUUAUUUUUCUUUAUUAUCACAGCUCAUCUCUUUCAGAGGUUUCUGCUUUCCCUUUCUCAGCCCUCUUCUCCUGUACACUAUGAGCCAUGCUGUAAAUUCAGGAACUUUCCUGUAGAGCAGAGAUUGUUUAAGACUAACAGGUUCCUGGGUGUUCACUUGUCUGAAGCCAUUCUUGCACACUAUUCCCCAACUUGGAACUUUUAUACCACAUGUUUAUUGUAAGCUUGUUCUGUACGCCCAAGUGGCAAAGACAUGAAGUUCUGAGUCCCUAGUGUAAGUGAGGGCACAGUGAAGCCACAGAACUAAACCACUCUGUAGGUAAAAAAAAAAUAAAAUAAAAAAUAAAAAGGUUUAUUGGGGAUCAAACUGCCACUGCUGUCUCUCCAGGAUCAGAAAGGACAGGAAAAAGGUAGGAAAGAUUUGCCUAUUUUAAGAGAGGCAUGCGAGCUAGAACAGCUUGUGGUAUGGGUAAGAACAGCCUGAGAACUAGUGUGGAGACUUAGGUCUGUUACAGGCUUGCUUGUGUCAAUCAGAAGUUCAAUGCUCACUGGAGGAGGUAGUUGGCUGAACAGGGUAAAUAGGGGUAAUGCUGGCUUUAGGUGGCAAUCCUUCUCUUUACCUGGUCAGCCUGCAGCCUGAGCCGAGCCCAGACUGGCAGUCAGGACAUUGUCAGCAGUGCUGGUAUUUUUUUGAGCCUGCUAUCUAAAACUCAACAGAUAUGGGGGUGAAAAUAAGUGACUUGAGAGAUUGCAGGUUCCCUGAGAAACUUAGUUGUUUUUAUAACCCCCAAGUUAUAAAAACUUGGGAAGGACAGCCCUUCAAGGAUCUGUUUAGAUUUUUGUUUUUAAUGGGGAGAUUGUGGUGUCAGGGAUGGAAGCCAGGGCUUCAUAUGCUAGGCAAGCACUGUGCCCAACACUAAACCCCUAAUCCAGGCCCUGGUUUUAGUCAAGUGUCUUAGCUGUCAAUCUCCUCUGUGUUCAAGUCAUACUUCUGUCAUGACUGGAGUUGGGCCAGUAUCCACCAGACCUCCUGGCUUCCAAGGUAUUGAAGUGUCCGAAUGUCUUUGCUUAGAAUUCCUUUAAUUCCCUCUAAUUCUCUUCCUUUUCUCUCAAGUUCAGUUAUAUGGGUCCUUCAAUGUGGGUGUCACGUUUAACAUUUGCAUGUGUUUCAGUGGCAAGUCCUCUUCGGGGUCACCAUGUUUUCCGAGCCAGCAGGCCGCAUAUGAAUCAACACGUUUCCUUCCUGCACACUGUGAUCCAAGAGUUGGGCUAGGAGCUGGGGGUUACCAUGGUGUGAAAACCAGACGCAGGCUCUCACCUCGGAGCAUGUAGAGCAUGCGAAUCCUAGGGAUGUGCUGAAAGAAACUGAACCCGCUCCAGGGGGACCGGGUCUCAGCUUCCAGUCCUGAGAAUAUUCAUCAGGAAAUCAGGCAGCUGCUCUCCCGUUGGCAGGUCAUUCUUUGCCUUGGCAGCUGCAGGGGUGGAUGUGCAAAUGAUGGGGCCAAGCUAAGCUGUGGGCGAGGACAUCAGCUGUUCCCAUCCUCUCCUGGCAGGGGCAAACGGAGAACAGCUGGGGAACCAGUCAGACAUGAACUCCUCCGGAAGCUGCCUCUCCGCCAGCAGAGGUGUCAACAGAAUUCCUCUUGCCUGCACCUUCUGGGAGCACACACUAGAUUUUUUCCCCCAUGCUUAUUGAUUUUGAUAAGGGGAGGGUUAUACGGCGGAGCAUGACGAUGGCGCAGAUGCUCAUCUGGAUAUCUCUGCAACUUUUGGAAUGGAUUCUGUGAUGUCACAUCAAUGUAAUUCUCCACUCAUUUACUACCUAGGGGAUGGAGAGCAAUCACCUAAAUGACACCAAAAUUUUGAUGACUCGUUAACUUGAUCCCCCAAGCUUUAUGCCACCUCUUCAUGGGGGAACUCGUGUUCCUUGAGCGCCAUUAAUUCAUGGGAAGUUCUGUUCCUCUCUUAUUUCCCUCUGCCAGUUUGUCCUCAUGAAUCUCACUGUCUUUUUGCCUGCUUCUCCACUCUGCUUGCUACCAGGAGAAGCUUUUCAUUUGACUUUCUUCUCGUCCCAUCUCAGGUCCAAGCCACUGGUUACAGAGGAUCAAACAAGACAGCAAUUUGCUAAGAGGGCAGGAAGAAGGAUGAGAUGAGAAAUAGUUUUGUUUUGUUUUUAAAACAAAACAAAACAAAACAAAACAAAAAACAAGCUAAGACUAUGUAUUCAGACAUAUAUGACACCUCCUUAAUGUACCUUUAUCUCCCAAGGAUAUCAAGGACAGAAAAUAAGGACCUGUAUUUCAUCUGUCUCCUCUUGGGUCACACCUGGGUAGAUGUAGUGCGUCAAGGGGGCUGAUAAUUCUCCCACUUUAUGGUUAUGAAAAUGACAGGUGGCUUGAAUCAAGUGCCAGAAUAUGGACAUCUGUGUGGCUCUGUGAAGGAACCUAGGAAAUCUUUUAUUUUGGAUAUAUUUUAUUUUUCACCACUAAGGAAUGGAAAGGUAGUCCCCUUCCUGGGCUAUGGUAAGCACUGAAUGAAGAAAUACACAUUCCUUUCAAAUUGUACAGAGAGGCACGGCUACCACUGCUCACUCGAUGGUUUGAGUUUAGCCUCCCACCCCACCCCCACCUCAGAAGGCCUAAGUUCUAGGUUCUAUGAGCUACCAUCCCAUCCUAAGUCUAAUGAAUGGUUGUCAGUGUUGUUCCCAAAAUACAAGAUGGGGCAUCAAAGGUGCAGGGGUGUUUCUCUUUCCUUCUAUAUCUUAGAUCUCAUGUUCCAGUGUUUAUGCUUUUGGGCUUAGAAUUAGGGAUAUCUCUCUAUAACCCAGGAAGGUAGUGCCAAUUCUCCCUAGGCACUUUCCAUAGCUCUGGCUGUUCUGGAACUCACUAUGUAGAUCAGGCUGGCCUCAAGCUCACAGAGAUUUGCCUGCCUCUGCCUCCUAAGUGCUGGGAUUAAAGAUGUGUGCCACC